rnacentral:sRNA from 1 species
AGCUCGACCGGAUCGAUGGCUCGAGUGGCCAUGAGGUAGCCGUUGAUCACGAGUCCGUGGCGGCCCUC